ACUAUGAGGUGUAACAUUUAAGGUCUUUUUUCUACUUGCCAGGGACUGUAUCUCACUGAACAGUUUCUGAAACCCAAUCUUCAUGAGCUCUAACACAGAGAUUCAGCUUCCCAAGAGAGCUCAGAAGAUGGUCCCAGAGCAUCUGGGGUCUUCUAUGGUUCUAGAAACAGAAACCGUUGUCAGAAACCUGAAGAAGGUGCUAAAAGGAUCCGAGGAUUGGAGGAUGCUGCUGCUGGUGCCACCCCAGAUGCCCUGCAGAACUGAUGGGCACUUCGGCGUAUCACCCACUCACAUCCAACUUUUAACUCACCCUAAUGCAGAGGACAGUUUCCCCUUAUAUUAACCACUCAUUUAAAGCUGUCCUCAUGACAUUGUGUCUCUGUGUGUGCAUGUCAUGGGGUGUAGGGUAUGUUUGUAUGUCUAGAGGCCAAAGAUGACAUCAGAUUUGUUAACUCUGAGAAUUGUGAGGAGAAAGAUAAAACCCACAAUCAUUUAUUUA
rnacentral:sRNA from 1 species